rnacentral:rRNA from 1 species
GAUGAACGCUGGCGGCGUGCCUAAUACAUGCAAGUCGAACGCAUAGCGAAAGGUGCUUGCACCUUUCAAGUGAGUGGCGAACGGGUGAGUAACACGUGGACAACCUGCCUCAAGGCUGGGGAUAACAUUUGGAAACAGAUGCUAAUACCGAAUAAAACUUAGUGUCGCAUGACACAAAGUUAAAAGGCGCUUCGGCGUCACCUAGAGAUGGAUCCGCGGUGCAUUAGUUAGUUGGUGGGUUAAAGGCCUACCAAGACAAUGAUGCAUAGCCGAGUUGAGAGACUGAUCGGCCACAUUGGGACUGAGACACGGCCCAAACUCCGUCGGGAGGCUGCAGUAGGGAAACUUCCGCAAUGGGCGAAAGCCUGAUGGAGCAACGCCGCGUGUGUGAUGAAGGCUUUCUGGUCGUAAAGCACUGUUGUAUGGGAAGAACAGCUAGAAUAGGAAAUGAUUUUAGUUUGACGGUACCCUACCAGAAAGGGACGGCUAAAUACGUG